rnacentral:lncRNA from 1 species
UAUAUACAUUUUUUUUAUUAUAUAUGUGACUGCAUCGUGACUAUAGGUCAACCAAGGUCGGAUCAUAAGGCACCUAAGUAAUCUAACUGGGAUAUUCAACCUCUAUCUUUAUGUGAAAACCAAAUCCUGAACCUUAUGGUACGAACAAGGAUACUCAUACUUCUUUUACGGAUAAGGCUAACAAAAAUGCAGUUAACAAAUGUGAACUCCUGAGGCUUUUCUAUUAUCAUUAAGUACACGUGUGGGGAUCUAAUAAUAGGUCACUGAUCAGUCAUAGUAUGCAUGUAUUCCUUGCAUUAAUAG